rnacentral:rRNA from 1 species
GAUGAACGCUGGCGGCGUGCCUAAUACAUGCAAGUCGAGCGAACGGACGAGAAGCUUGCUUUUCUGAUGUUAGCGGCGGACGGGUGAGUAACACGUGGAUAACCUACCUAUAAGACUGGGAUAACUUCGGGAAACCGGGGCUAAUACCGGAUAAUAUUUUGAACCGCAUGGUUCAAAAGUGAAAGACGGUCUUGCUGUCACUUAUAGAUGGAUCCGCGCUGCAUUAGCUAGUUGGUAAGGUAACGGCUUACCAAGGCAACGAUGCAUAGCCGACCUGAGAGGGUGAUCGGCCACACUGGAACUGAGACACGGUCCAGACUCCUACGGGAGGCAGCAGUAGGGAAUCUUCCGCAAUGGGCGAAAGCCUGACGGAGCGACGCCGCGUGAGUGAUGAAGGUCUUCGGAUCGUAAAACUCUGUUAUUAGGGAAGAACAUAUGUGUAAGUAACUGUGCACAUCUUGACGGUACCUAAUCAGAAAGCCACGGCUAACUACGUGCCAGCAGCCGCGGUAAUACGUAGGUGGCAAGCGUUAUCCGGAAUUAUUGGGCGUAAAGCGCGCGUAGGCGGUUUUUUAAGUCUGAUGUGAAAGCCCACGGCUCAACCGUGGAGGGUCAUUGGAAACUGGAAAACUUGAGUGCAGAAGAGGAAAGUGGAAUUCCAUGUGUAGCGGUGAAAUGCGCAGAGAUGUGGAGGAACACCAGUGGCGAAGGCGACUUUCUGGUCUGUAACUGACGCUGAUGUGCGAAAGCGUGGGGAUCAAACAGGAUUAGAUACCCUGGUAGUCCACGCCGUAAACGAUGAGUGCUAAGUGUUAGGGGGUUUCCGCCCCUUAGUGCUGCAGCUAACGCAUUAAGCACUCCGCCUGGGGAGUACGACCGCAAGGUUGAAACUCAAAGGAAUUGACGGGGGCCCGCACAAGCGGUGGAGCAUGUGGUUUAAUUCGAAGCAACGCGAAGAACCUUACCAAAUCUUGACAUCCUUUGACAACUCUAGAGAUAGAGCCUUCCCCUUCGGGGGACAAAGUGACAGGUGGUGCAUGGUUGUCGUCAGCUCGUGUCGUGAGAUGUUGGGUUAAGUCCCGCAACGAGCGCAACCCUUAAGCUUAGUUGCCAUCAUUAAGUUGGGCACUCUAAGUUGACUGCCGGUGACAAACCGGAGGAAGGUGGGGAUGACGUCAAAUCAUCAUGCCCCUUAUGAUUUGGGCUACACACGUGCUACAAUGGACAAUACAAAGGGCAGCGAAACCGCGAGGUCAAGCAAAUCCCAUAAAGUUGUUCUCAGUUCGGAUUGUAGUCUGCAACUCGACUACAUGAAGCUGGAAUCGCUAGUAAUCGUAGAUCAGCAUGCUACGGUGAAUACGUUCCCGGGUCU